GAGAGAGAGAGAAAGAAGAAAGGAAAAGGAAGAAGAAGAAGAAGAAAGAAGAAGGGAAUCGACCAUAGAGCUUCACUGGAGCUAGGUCUUGGCAUUUUGAGGCUGGAAUGAUGGUUAGCUCGCCAGGAUCUUCGAUUUGAGGAUUUGGAAGGAGUGUUGAUAAAGAUCUAGAGUUUUUGAGAAUUCUUAAGCUAAAGGAGUGAAAUUGGGGUUUUAUUGGUGUUCUUGAGAAAAGAGGUGAUUUUAUAAGUUACCCGCCUGAAAAUCAGGAGCUGAGUCCCACUGUGGAGUUUGCCUCCGAGGAUUGUGGAUCCUUAAUGAGUUCGAGCACGGUGUUGAUUGCAUGUGUGAGGAUUGUGAUGUAUAACAGCAGUGACUCCAGAUUGAUUCUUUUUUAUUCUUUUGAUAUACCAUUUUGGUGACUUAAUGCUUAAAUUGUUAUAUUUUUAUGUGUAUAUCAUACCUUUGGGCCCAUAUGUAUAUAACUUUUAUAACUCAAUUUGGGUAUCAAGUAUUUGGGGAAAAAUUACUGGUAUUAUUAUGAACAGGUC